CGGCCGCGGUACUCUGACCGUGCAAAGGUAGCAUAAUCACUUGUCCCUUAAAUAGGGACCUGUAUCAACGGCAUCACGAGGGUUAUACUGUCUCCCCUCUCUAAUCAGUGAAACUAACCUCCCCGUGAAGAGGCGGGGGUACAACUACAAGACGAGAAGACCCCAUGGAGCUUUAAACCCAAUGACAACCUCUACUCAAACACUCCCACAUAGACACAAAGUAAUGUACAUUGGUUUUAGGUUGGGGUGACCGCGGAGCAAAACUAAACCUCCAUGACGAACGGAAUGUCCUAAUCCAUGAACUACCACUCUAAGAAUCAAGAAUUUGACGUAAUAUGAUCCGGCAACCGAUCAACGAACCAAGUUACCCUGGGGAUAACAGCGCAAUCCAUUUCGAGAGCUCCUAUCGACAAAUGGGUUUACGACCUCGAUGUUGGAUCAGGGUAUCCCAGUGGUGCAGCCGCUACUAAAGGUUUGUUUGUUCAACAAUUAAAACCCUACGUGAUCUGAGUUCAGACCGGAG
rnacentral:rRNA from 1 species